AUUGAACGCUGGCGGCAUGCCUUACACAUGCAAGUCGAACGGCAGCACGGGUGCUUGCACCUGGUGGCGAGUGGCGAACGGGUGAGUAAUACAUCGGAACGUACCUUAUCGUGGGGGAUAACGCAGCGAAAGCUGUGCUAAUACCGCGUACGCCCUGAGGGGGAAAGCGGGGGAUCGAAAGACCUCGCGCGAUUAGAGCGGCCGAUGCCUGAUUAGCUUGUUGGUGGGGUAAAAGCCACCAAGGCGACGAUCAGUAGCUGGUCUGAGAGGACGAUCAGCCACACUGGGACUGAGACACGGCCCAGACUCCUACGGGAGGCAGCAGUGGGGAAUUUUGGACAAUGGGGGAAACCCUGAUCCAGCAAUGCCGCGUGAGUGAAGAAGGCC
rnacentral:rRNA from 1 species